GCCGGGAGUGGUGGGGUACUCCUGUAAUCCCAACUACUUGGAGGGAAGGUGUAGAGGAUGUUUUAACGACGGGAAUUCUGGGGUAAAUCUUCAACUUGGAUGCCGUGGGGGGAGCCUGAGGUGGCCAGGUUGAGUCUGAAAAGGGGAAAAAUCAGGGCAAAAGUCAUCGAGUUGGGAGUCGUGGGUUCAAAUCCUGGGAGUGGGAGUUCGAUUUCACCUCGUUCAAACAAGAACAGACCUGUACCUAA
rnacentral:SRP_RNA from 1 species